rnacentral:rRNA from 1 species
GACGAACGCUUUUGGCGUGCUUAACACAUGCAAGUCGAACGGAAAGGCCCUGCUUUUGUGGGGUGCUCGAGUGGCGAACGGGUGAGUAACACGUGAGUAACCUGCCCUUGACUUUGGGAUAACUUCAGGAAACUGGGGCUAAUACCGGAUAGGAGCUCCUGCUGCAUGGUGGGGGUUGGAAAGUUUCGGCGGUUGGGGAUGGACUCGCGGCUUAUCAGCUUGUUGGUGGGGUAGUGGCUUACCAAGGCUUUGACGGGUAGCCGGCCUGAGAGGGUGACCGGCCACAUUGGGACUGAGAUACGGCCCAGACCCCUACGGGAGGCAGCAGUGGGGAAUAUUGCACAAUGGGCGGAAGCCUGAUGCAGCAACGCCGCGUGCGGGAUGACGGCCUUCGGGUUGUAAACCGCUUUCGCCUGUGACGAAGCGUGAGUGACGGUAAUGGGUAAAGAAGCACCGGCUAACUACGUGCCAGCAGCCGCGGUGAUACGUAGGGUGCGAGCGUUGUCCGGAUUUAUUGGGCGUAAAGGGCUCGUAGGUGGUUGAUCGCGUCGGAAGUGUAAUCUUGGGGCUUAACCCUGAGCGUGCUUUCGAUACGGGUUGACUUGAGGAAGGUAGGGGAGAAUGGAAUUCCUGGUGGAGCGGUGGAAUGCGCAGAUAUCAGGAGAAACACCAGUGGCGAAGGCGGUUCUCUGGGCCUUUCCUGACGCUGAGGAGCGAAAGCGUGGGGAGCGAACAGGCUUAGAUACCCUGGUAGUCCACGCUGUAAACGGUGGGUACUAGGUGUGGGGUCCAUUCCACGGGUUCCGUGCCGUAGCUAACGCUUUAAGUACCCCGCCUGGGGAGUACGGCCGCAAGGCUGAAACUCAAAGGAAUUGACGGGGCCCCGCACAAGCGGCGGAGCAUGCGGAUUAAUUCGAUGCAACGCGUAGAACCUUACCUGGGUUUGACAUGGAUCGGGAGUGCUCAGAGAUGGGUGUGCCUCUUUUGGGGUCGGUUCACAGGUGGUGCAUGCCUGUCGUCAGCUCGUGUCGUGAGAUGUUGGGUUAAGUCCCGCAACGAGCGCAACCCUUGUUCACUGUUGCCAGCACGUUAUGGUGGGGACUCAGUGGAGACCGCCGGGGUCAACUCGGAGGAAGGUGGGGAUGACGUCAAGUCAUCAUGCCCCUUAUGUCCAGGGCUUCACGCAUGCUACAAUGGCUGGUACAGAGAGUGGCGAGCCUGUGAGGGUGAGCGAAUCUCGGAAAGCCGGUCUCAGUUCGGAUUGGGGUCUGCAACUCGACCUCAUGAAGUCGGAGUCGCUAGUAAUCGCAGAUCAGCAACGCUGCGGUGAAUACGUUCCCGGGGCU